rnacentral:tRNA from 1 species
GCCCAAGUGGUGGAAUUGGUAGACACGCUAUCUUGAGGGGGUAGUGGCGAAGGCCGUGCCGGUUCAAGUCCGGCCUUGGGCACCA